CCGAGGAUGGCUUUCUCCUCCUCCUCCCACUGCCUGUGAUGGGGGGUGGCUGCUGGGGAGCUUCUCCAGGGCUGGGGAAACUUCCCACACACUAAAGGCAGCGGCUUUGUGCAGGCCCAGGUGAGCCCAGGGAACAGCUGGACUGGCUGGUGGCUGGGAGGAGACCUGGAACAGCCCAGUCCUGGAGCUGGAGAGUGGGCAAAUGGCCCCGGGUGUGGGCAUGGAUCUGUUCUGCUCUGGGGCUGCAGGGUCCCCACAGUGAAGUGACACACGUGGGACCCUGUGUGGGCCUGAGUGAGGAGCAGCUGGCACUGGCCGUGCCCACGUGAGCCCUCUGUGGGGACAGCACAGCUCUGGGACGGCCCUUUGGCCACCUGGGACCAGGCAGUCCAAGCUGGCCACCCGCACACGGCCCUGUGUGUGGGAGAUGCUGCAGGAGGCCACCAGGACCUGAGGGCUCCGGGCCUGGCAGGGUCACCCUCCACCGGCGCUGCUCCCCAAACUGGAGCUGGCAACUGAAGCAGCUCCCAGGUUUGCCACGGGACAAAUGCAGCAGUGGCUGCUGGGCUUGGCCACUAAGCACAAGUGGUGGCUUCUCUUUCAAAUGACACAAGUUCUGUCCUCCUGUCUCUGCUCCCCCCUCAGCCUCCUGCCUGGCUCAGGCCCGCUGGAAGCAGCUGCCAGUCCACAAUUAACAGGCGCUAAUUGGGCUUCCAGGGGGGCUGCAGCUCAGCCUGCUCGGCCCAUUCACACUGGGAAUCCCAGAAUCACGAGGGGUUUGGGCUGGAGGGACCUUAAAGGCCAUGUCACCCCAUCCCCUGCACUGCCAGUGCCAGGUCCCCAGGUGCCACAUCUCAAACUCUGCCCGGAGAUCCAGGCACAGCCUUGUCCGAGGGGAGACCCCCUGUGCGCCCCUCAGAGCUGUCCUGGGACCCCGGCCCGUGGGAAGGAGCUUUGGGACACACCGGGGGCAGCAAAGGCUUCCACAGGCCCAAAUCCACAGGAGAGCCCUUGGAUCCCAAAACAGCCUCUGGAUGAGGAGCCCCGAGGGAUGCAGAUGUGGAUGCAGAUGUGGAUGUGGAUGCAGGAUGCUCCAGUCCCUGCUGCCCCCACCACCUGUGACCACCUGUGGCCUCAGCCUGCAGUGGGGGCUCCCCAGGUCACCAAGGAGAGGAACCAUCUCCACAGAGAGACACAGGGAGACAGCCCAAAAGUCGAGUCCCCAUGAGAGGGUUCUCUCCUGCACGGUGUCUGCAGAGGAACUUCACCUGAAGGCUUCUGCAGAGGAACCUCAGUGAAGCCUGUCAGACACAGGAUCCACCUGCCUUGGGGCGGGCCAGGGGGAUAAAUAUCACCUCCUCCCUGGUCCAGGAAUCACAGAAUCAUUAAAGUUGCAAAAGACCUCCAAGAUGGAGAGAAACUAUUUACAAGACCCUGGAGGGCCAGGAGCCAGGGAAUGGC